rnacentral:rRNA from 1 species
ACAGCAGUCGCCGCGGUAAUGCGUAGGUGGCAAGCGUUGUCCGGAAUUAUUGGGCGUAAAGGGCUCGCAGGCGGUUUCUUAAGUCUGAUGUGAAAGCCCCCGGCUCAACCGGGGAGGGUCAUUGGAAACUGGGAAACUUGAGUGCAGAAGAGGAGAGUGGAAUUCCACGUGUAGCGGUGAAAUGCGUAGAGAUGUGGAGGAACACCAGUGGCGAAGGCGACUCUCUGGUCUGUAACUGACGCUGAGGAGCGAAAGCGUGGGGAGCGAACAGGAUUAGAGACCCGCGUAGUCCCUGUCUCUUAUAC